GACAGAGGGUGCAAACGUUGUUCGGAAUUACUGGGCGUAAAGCGUGCGUAGGCGGUUGGCUAAGUCAGAUGUGAAAGCCCUGGGCUCAACCUGGGAAUGGCAUUUGAAACUGGCCGGCUAGAGUGUGAUAGAGGAUGGCGGAAUUCCCGGUGUAGCGGUGAAAUGCGUAGAGAUCGGGAGGAACAUCCGUGGCGAAGGCGGCCAUCUGGAUCAACACUGACGCUGAGGCACGAAAGCGUGGGGAGCAAACAGG
rnacentral:rRNA from 1 species